CACAACCAGUGUAAGUUUGGGUCUGGUUCUGACCCAAAAGUAUUGAGAUUUUAAAAACGUUGCUUGGUUUAGUACAGUCAGCUACAGCAGAGCUCGCAAAUGGCACAGAAAUGGUAUCAAGAAACCCAGAUCCCAGAGAUACGAAUCUCUGAAGGGGGUUGAUCCCAAGUUUCUGAGGAACA